AUGAACGCUAGCGACAGGCCUAACACAUGCAAGUCGAGGGGCAGCACAAGGAGCAAUCUGAGGUGGCGACCGGCGCACGGGUGAGUAACACGUAUGCAACCUGCCUGUAAGCGGGGAAUAACCCGUUGAAAGACGGACUAAUACCGCAUAAUACUAAAUUACUGCAUGGUAAUUUAUUUAAACAUUUAUGGCUUACAGAUGGGCAUGCGCAUGAUUAGCUAGUUGGAGAGGUAACGGCUCCCCAAGGCAACGAUCAUUAGGGGUUCUGAGAGGAAGGUCCCCCACACUGGUACUGAGACACGGACCAGACUCCUACGGGAGGCAGCAGUGAGGAAUAUUGGUCAAUGGACGAGAGUCUGAACCAGCCAAGUCGCGUGCAGGAAGAAUGUCCUAGUUAGGAUUAGUAAACUGUCUUUUGCGAAGGGGAAUAAAGUGCAUCACGUGUGAUGUUUUGUAUGUACUCUGCGAAUAAGGAUCGGCUAACUCCGUGCCAGCAGCUGC
rnacentral:rRNA from 1 species